rnacentral:rRNA from 1 species
AGCGAACGCUGGCGGCAGGCCUAACACAUGCAAGUCGAACGAACCUUUCGGGGUUAGUGGCGGACGGGUGAGUAACACGUGGGAACGUGCCUUUAAGUUCGGAAUAACUCAGGGAAACUUGUGCUAAUACCGAAUGUGCCCUUCGGGGGAAAGAUUUAUCGCCUUUAGAGCGGCCCGCGUCUGAUUAGCUAGUUGGUUGAGGUAAUGGCUCACCAAGGCGACGAUCAGUAGCUGGUCUGAGAGGAUGAUCAGCCACAUUGGGACUGAGACACGGCCCAAACUCCUACGGGAAGCAGCAGUGGGGAAUCUUGCGCAAUGGGCGAAAGCCUGACGCAGCCAUGCCGCGUGAAUGAUGAAGGUCUUAGGAUUGUAAAAUUCUUUCACCGGGGACGAUAAUGACGGUACCCGGAGAAGAAGCCCCGGCUAACUUCGUG